UACGUAGGGGCCUAGCGUUGUCCGGAUUCAUUGGGCGUAAAGAGCGUGUAGGCGGCCAGGUAGGUCGGUUGUGAAAACUGGAGGCUCAACCUUCAGAGGUCGACCGAAACCAUCUGGCUAGAGUCCGGGAGAGGAGAGUGGAAUUCCUGGUGUAGCGGUGAAAUGCGCAGAUAUCAGGAAGAACACCCGUGGCGAAAGCGGCUCUCUGGAACGGUACUGACGCUGAGACGCGAAAGCGUGGGGAGCGAACAGG
rnacentral:rRNA from 1 species